GGCCCAGGGAACCAAGCAGCGUUGCCGCUGCUGCUGCACCCCGAGCUGGAGGAGGGAGAAGCCAGGAAGAAAAUGGCGGCCGUGGCUGCAGAGGCGGCAGCGACUGCAGCGUCCCCCGGGGAGGGGGGCGCCGGCGAGGCCGAGCCGGAGAUGGAGCCCAUCCCCGGCAGCGAGGCCGGCACUGACCCCCUCCCGGUCACCGCAACGGAAGCAUCUGUGCCGGACGGCGAGGCCGACGGGCAGCAGUCUUCUCCUCAGGCCGACGAGCCGCCGCUCCCGCCGCCACCGCCGCCGCCGGGGGAGCUCGCCCGCAGCCCGGAGGCGGCGGGGCCGGAGCUGGAGGCUGAGGAGAAGCUGCCCGCCCGGGUGGCGGAGCCGGCGGCAGCCGCGCCUCAGGAAAGACCCGACCUUCCACCUUCCCCUGCACCGCCGCCCGAGCAGCCCCCAGCUCCCGAGGAGCGCCAGGAACCGCCGCUGCCCCAGCCCGCAGCCCCGGCGCUCGUGCCGCCGGCGGGCGGGGACUCCGCGGUGUCGCAGCUGAUUCCCGGCUCCGAGGUGCGGGUCACGCUGGACCACAUCAUUGAGGACGCGCUCGUCGUGUCGUUCCGUCUAGGGGAGAAGCUCUUCUCCGGGGUCCUUAUGGAUCUGUCCAAAAGGUUUGGGCCCCAUGGGAUCCCUGUGACAGUGUUUCCCAAAAGGGAAUAUAAGGAGAAACCUGAAGCCAUGCAGCUCCAAAGUAAUACAUUCCAAGAAGGGACAGAAGUCAAGCGUGAAGUGAAUGGUGCUGUUCCCGAUGACCCUUCUCCCAUCUCGCCUCCCGAGCCAGGCUUGGCUGAAAGCCUGUGGACUUCCAAACCACCGCCUCUCUUCCAUGAAGGAGCACCUUACCCUCCCCCUUUGUUUAUCAGGGACACCUAUAACCAGUCAAUACCUCAGCCACCGCCUCGGAAAAUUAAGCGACCCAAACGAAAAAUGUACAGGGAAGAACCUACUUCAAUAAUGAAUGCUAUUAAACUGCGACCCAGGCAAGUCCUGUGUGACAAGUGUAAAACCAGUGUUGUUGCAGAGAAAAAGGAAAUUAGAAAAGGUAGUAGUGCAAGUGACUCUUCUAAAUACGAAGAUAAAAAACGGAGAAACGAAAGUGUAACUACUGUGAACAAAAAACUGAAAACUGACCAUAAAGUGGAUGGGAAAAACCAAAAUGAAAGCCAGAAAAGAAAUGCUGUGGUGAAGGUUUCCAAUAUUGCUCACAGCAGAGGCAGAGUAGUCAAAGUUUCUGCUCAGGCAAAUACAUCAAAAGCUCAGUUAAGUACUAAAAAAGUGCUCCAGAGUAAGAACAUGGAUCAUGCAAAAGCUCGGGAAGUGUUGAAAAUUGCCAAAGAAAAGGCACAAAAGAAGCAAAGUGAAACCUCUACAUCCAAAAAUGCACAUUCAAAAGUCCAUUUCACACGUCGCUAUCAGAGUCCUAGCUCAGGUUCCCUUCCACCCCGGGUUCGUUUAAAACCACAAAGGUACAGGAAUGAAGAAAAUGACUCUUCUUUGAAGACGGGACUUGAGAAAAUGCGGAGUGGCAAGAUGGCACCCAAGCCCCAGUCUCGCUGCACCUCUACCCGCUCAGCAGGUCUGUUUCCAAUGGAGAGGAGAAUGGGGUCAAAGGGAAAGAAAUCCUAAUCAUCGGAGCUAUAGGUUCCUUCCUGCCCUCCCACGUGUAUCAACUUUAUCCCUCUGAAGCCUCCACCUUGAAGUAAAGCCCAGGUAAAGAACUUACAGACACAUUGCCUUUAAAUGUCAAGGCCUUUUCUAAUAAUUCAUGGAAAGAAUUUUUGGUCUCAGUCUAAGAUUUAGCCCCCAGAAGCUCUCCAUAUUCUGAGGAAGCUCCCAGAACCCAGGCUGAGCAUUCUGCAGGCAGGCUUCCCAACCCUAACCUGAACACAUGUGCCGGGCGUGCCUGUUUACCGAGACUCGCUGGCACAGCCCAUCCCUGCACACAGGUGCCGGCCAGGGCACGGUCUCGAGUGGACGGAUGCACAGGUAGGGGACACAACAAGCACAAAAAGGAGGGGGCGUCCUCGGGCAAGUGGGAGGGACCCAGAGCAUUGGCAGUCUGUCCUGGGGUUGAGGAAGGAGAACCGGGAAGGGAGCAAGCAGUUCAAGAAGCCAAAUGAAAUGUCACCGCUGGCACAAGCCUUGGCUCUUCGGAGUGAGUGACGUGAGACUGAAUCUCAAAACGUCUUCACAUCAUGCUGCCCGGGAGCAAUAGCAACCCCAUCGCCCAAGCUGCUGGGACUGGCAGAGGCCGGGGCGCUCCUGGAUGGAGGGCCACCGCAAGGCCAUUUUGCGGCGCGGUGACCACGGAGCAGCCACUGUAGAGUAUCAUCCCUGUGGUGCGACAGGAGCUACAGAGUAAAGCUGGUUCUUGGCUUUUGGGACGCUCUCAGUCUGGCCAGGACACACAGACACAAGGAUGGGCGUGCCCCAGGCAGGAGAGCUCAGCGGCCUGUGCAGGGGCUGAGAGGAAGGCGUCUCAGGACAGACCACACGCGUCAGUGCUCAGAGGUACCGACCAGGAGGUACCGGGCGCUGGCGUGCCACCGCGUGUCACAGAUGGUAAGGGGCCAAGCAUUCAAGCUGCAGAUGGAGAGGGACACUGAGGGCCUUCAGCAGGUUUUUCCCUCUGCCUGACUGGCUGCAGACCCGGCCCACCACCACGAGCCUGGCCCUUUGAGCUGAACUGAUUCUGUGGAGAGGCACUCAGGAAAACGUGCUUCUCCCACUGCAGGCGGCGCGUACCUGUCCAUGACCGAGCACCGUAGGGGCAGCCCAGGAACUCUGACAGGUGACUGUGGGUCCUCACGGUCUCUGCUGGAACUUUCUUAGCACUGCACUGCUGUGAGACUUUUCCUAUGGGCUUCCUCUCUCCUCUGCAGGCACCUGACAGUUCUCCGCCCAUCCCCGCUGUAGGGACGUCCCCAAUCAGUCUCUCAUCCUUCUAUUCCAAUCAUGGUUCUGCUUCUCUGUGGGGUCAACCUACACAUGGAGCUAUUAGUCGUCUUCCUUCCUUCUCAGCCUUUUUAACAUUCCGCAGCAGUUUUACUCUAUUAUCUUGUGACGAGAGCACAGGCAGUUCCGCUUGCUCAAGGACACAAGGGACGCCAAGUGCCUGAGACACCUACUAGAGACACAGAGUGGGGAAGUCUGCCAUCAGAAGACCACAGAUUACCAGACCUGAAUUUGACCCACAGUCCCAAGUUCACAUGUGUGGCAUCUUGCUGUGUGUGGUGGCACAAGAAGCAGCUGAGAUGCGAGGGGAAGACAGCUGUGCACGUGGAAGCCGAAGGUUCAGAGCUACAGCACAAGAGGGGAAGGCAAAAUUCAUGACACACUGCUUCUGCUCAGGAGGAACUGCUCAGAGCAGAGAGGCUGACCACACCUGGCCGCACCUCCAUCACUCCCUUUGAGGUCCUCUCCUGGGCUGCCUGGACUCUGUCCCCACACAGCAGUCAUAUGCCCACACAGUGCUGGAUAAACUCCAGCGUGGCCCAGAAACACGGAGAGGGGUUAUCAGAACUCUGAGUGCUACGCCCCACUCCCCCCACCCCCCGCCAUCUCUGAUUCAGCAGGAUGGGGAUGGAAUCUGAACAAUGUGCAUUCUGAACGAGUUCUCACGGGAAACUGGGCUGAGCAAUGCAUUCUGCGAUCCAGCCCCUCCCAAAUAACUUGCUUUUGUAUCUGGCCAGUGGAAUCAGGAUGAGAAGCCUGGUACUGAAAACUAACUGUGGACACCUGUCUCGAGUGACUGGUGGGACAGGCUGCCUGGGCGGAGUGUCCCUCUUACAUGAUGUGAAAAUAGCCCACGUUACUUUUUGGAGAAAGCAAACUUUAUCUUCCACCUCGCAGUUCAAUACAAGAUGACAGGAGAUUAAGAAAGAACCGCAAACAUACAUGUACAGAUUUUUAGCAAUUCUACUUGUUUGAGAUAUCAUGGCCAGGCCAGGAUAUAGGACAAAACAAUUUACAAAUGAUGACAACAAAAGCCUUCAUCCCAUCCUUUUCUGUUUGCAACUGAGGCUUAUCCAGAGAUCUGUCAGCAUCAUCAUCUGGCCUCCCAAGUACACAGCUCUGGCCCUCAUCUUGCUGCCAAGAUGAGGCUCAGCUCAUCACCCAGUGUGUACAGAGCUGAACCCCAGGAAGGCGCUGGUCUGUCUCCCCUACAAGGUUAAGCAGCCAGGCUUCUCGAGGUGCUCCUACAUGCAGAGCAGACACUGAACCUCGGCCCUCGGUGUGCGCCAGCUGAGCUGAGGAGCUUCAGGGAUUCUGAAAAGGUCUCAUCAGUUCUACCUUUGAAAUUGUUUUUACCAUUUACCUAGGUGGACAAAAUAUUUAAGGUUGUGAAGUGAAAACUCAGAAAUAAAUUAGAUACAGAUACUCAGGAGGCUGUGCCUACCAUCCAAAUCCCAUUUCAAAUUAUUACGUUCAUCAAACUUGCCUGGUUAUUCUGAUUAUAAUAAAUGCUAUACAUUUGAACUGAUACAAAUAAAAUACCACUCUUUGUUUUCUA